rnacentral:rRNA from 1 species
CCUACGGGAGGCAGCAGUGGGGAAUAUUGCACAAUGGGGGAAACCCUGAUGCAUCGACGCCGCGUGAGUGAAGAAGUAUUUCGGUAUGUAACGCUCUAUCAGCAGGGAAGAAGAAAGACGGUACCUGACUAAGAAGCCCCGGCUAACUACGGGCCAGCAGCCGCGGGAAUACGCAGGGGGCAAGCGUUAUCCGGAGUUACUGGGUGUAAAGGGAGCGUAGGAGGUUGUGCAAGUCUGAAGUGAAAGCCCAGGGCUCAACCCUGGGACUGCUUUGGAAACUGGGGAGCUAGAGUGCUGGAGAGGUAAGUGGAAUUCCAAGUGUAGCGGUGAAAUGCGUAGAUAUUAGGAGGAACACCAGUGGCGAAGGCGGCUUACUGGACAGUAACUGACGUUGAGGCUCGAAAGCGUGGGGAGCAAACAGGAUUAGAUACCCUAGUAGUC